rnacentral:tRNA from 1 species
GACUGGAUAGCCUAGUGGUAAAGGCAUCACAUUGACAUUCUGAGGUCCCAGGUUCAAAUCCUGGUCUAGUCA